UACGUAGGGGGCAAGCGUUGUCCGGAGUUACUGGGCGUAAAGCGCACGUAGGCGGCUUUGUAAGUUAGAGGUGAAAGCCCGGGGCUCAACUCCGGAAUUGCCUUUAAGACUGCAUCGCUAGAAUUGUGGAGAGGUAAGUGGAAUUCCGAGUGUAGAGGUGAAAUUCGUAGAUAUUCGGAAGAACACCAGUGGCGAAGGCGACUUACUGGACACAUAUUGACGCUGAGGAGCGAAAGCGUGGGGAGCAAACAGG
rnacentral:rRNA from 1 species